UACGUAGGGUGCGAGCGUUGUCCGGAAUUAUUGGGCGUAAAGAGCUCGUAGGCGGUCUGUCGCGUCUGCUGUGAAAUCCCGAGGCUCAACCUCGGGCCUGCAGUGGGUACGGGCAGACUAGAGUGCGGUAGGGGAGAUUGGAAUUCCUGGUGUAGCGGUGGAAUGCGCAGAUAUCAGGAGGAACACCGAUGGCGAAGGCAGAUCUCUGGGCCGAUACUGACGCUGAGGAGCGAAAGCGUGGGGAGCAAACAGG
rnacentral:rRNA from 1 species